UUUUUGCUAUUUCUUUGGGCCACUCCCGCAGCAUACGGAGGUUCCCAGGCUAGGGGUCGAAUCGGAACUGUAGCCGCCAGCCUAGGCCAGAGCCACAGCAAUGCGGGAUCCCAGCCGUGUUUGCGACCUACACCACAGCUCACUGCAACGCCGGAUCGUUAACCCACUGAGCAAGGGCAGGAAAUGAACCCGCAACCUCAUGGUUCCUAGUUGGAUUCGUUAACCACUGCGCCACAACGGGAACUCCGCACCCGUUCAAUUUUUAGUGUGAAGUUUUGUGUUAGCCAGGAGUUAGAUAGGUUUUUUAUUUAUUUAUUUUUUAUUGUUACUUCCCCAAUACAAUUUUUUUUUCUGCUGUACACAUGGAGACGCAGUUACACAUACAUGUAUACAUUCUUUUAUCUCAAAUUAUCAUGCUCCCAUCAUAAGUGACUAGACAUAGUUUUGAACUUGCUGUUGCUAUGUUCGCCUUUAGUGGAAAAUAGUUUUCAAAUAGUUAUCGAUACCUGUGUUUAAAGUACAGGCUGGCUUCCCAACGUUUUUUCCUCCAUUUCUAUUCCACCUUUGCGGUCCAAUCUUCCCUUUUAGUGUGUUUCACAGGAGGUCUGUCUCUUGAAGUUUACCCCGCAAUCCUGGCCCUGUGGCAGAAAGUGAAGGAGAGAAGCAUCCCUGGGUCUCCUGGAUGUGGCUUUCAUGUUCCUGCUCCUUCCCCCAGUUAGAGUUUUUAUUAAAAAUAUGUCCUCACCACUUCUCUAGGGCUGGAGGGUUGUUUCUUAUUUCUUCUGCCAGGUGCAAUGGGUUUUCAUCAGUGCCAGAAGAAAUACAUUUUUUUUAUUGUCCUUCUCUCUUUACAUUAAGGUUUUUUGUUUCUUAAAGGAGACAGUGGAGAAAACUGAGAUUGGGGCAGGGGUGCUGAGGGACAGUUUCAUGUCUCAUUUUCAAUGUCUACUUUCUUUCUUUCUCCUACACAAAAGAAGCUGUCUCUGGGACUUUCGCAUUCUUUCCAUUUAUCACCUGGUGGGUUUCAUGGGUAAAACGACUGCUGGAGUGCAAGUUCCCCUCCCCAAUACCUGUGUCCCCCCUCCAAUUUCACCCUUCACCUUCCACCAGUCUGCACUCUACCUUCAACUUGAGAGUUAUCCUAGUGAGUUCCUGGUAGUGUCUGGUGACCCCUGCCUUAGGAAACAAGUGUUUGUAUUCUAUCUCUUUCUAUAGCCAACUGCCUCUCCCCAGCUUUCUAGAUGACUUCCUGUCUUAUGUACUUAGCUCUCUGACAGGUUUGAGAAAAACUGUGAAUUUUCAAUUUGUCCAGCUUUUUUACUUCUGCAGUUGCUGGAGCAGAAUUCCUAGCUUUCUACAUCCUGUAGCAGAAACCAUACCUCAAUAAGACCAAAGAAAAAAAGAAUUACAAAUUGUUCUCUAAUUUUUUUUCCUUCACAAUGCUGUAUAUAUCACCUAGACUGUAAUUUCUAUAAACAUAUUUCUGUUUGAAUAAGUGCUGUUCAUGGUUUAUGGUUUUGAUUGAUUGUUGGGUAAGAGCUCUUCUGAAAAAAAUUAAACUCAAUAGGCACUGUUGCCGAGUUUGCCAUUUUAAACAAUAGCAAAUGGCACAGUUUUUAACUUUUUAAAUGUGGUAGCUGUUUAGGGUCUACCUGGGUCUUUAGAAAUAUACUACUAACUUUGGUUUUCUGCUUGACCAAAUCAAAUGGAAUCUGAGACCAGGGACACAUUAUCAGUGUGAAGACUACAGUAGGUUGAGUUGGCAAGAGAUUACAGUAUUUUAAUGAGUGGACAGAAGCUGAGUUGGUAGUACACAGAGAAGACAGAAACAAUUUAAGGCACAGUAUAUAGGUGGUGGCUCUGAUUAUUUCUGGAGACAAUUUAUUUCUUUUUAUGCAUAACUUAAUUCCUCCUAUUGGCCUUAGAUGUGGUUUUCUAUUAGCCAACACUGGAGAGCUGAUGUAUCUAAGAAGAAAAUGUGAUCCUUGAAUACCUAGAAAAAUAUUUAAUGAUGCUAAGGCAAGAAAGAAAGGAGGGAGGGAGGAAAGAAGGAAGGAAAGAAAGAGAAAAAGGUACAACUUUUCUUAGGCUCAGGUCUCUGCAAACAAUUAUGGAUCAGAUAUGCGUUCCUUAAACAUGUGGUCCAACCAACCUGAGAUUCAGACUUUACACAUAGAAAUUACUAUGCUGUUUGUGUAUAAAAAAUUACUGCAAACAAUGUUAUGUCUUUAGAAAAAAGAAAGAAGAUUUCAACAGCAACUUAAAGUUAUUCUUCUUGAGUCUAGUUUAAGAGAAGAACACAUAAGGAGAAAAAUAAAUAAAAAGGAGGUUUUAAAAUAUUACUCUGGUAUUCCGUCUUUCCUUCAACAUUAAUAGCCAUAACUUUGUGUUUGCAGGCACACAAAGAUAGACUGUCAUUCGAACUUGCAUUAAAGGCUAAACUUGAUUAUCAAAAUUUAGCUAAAGGUAAUCAGAUGUACUAGAAUAUUUCUGAUUUGGUCAAGAGGUUCUUAGUAUAUUGCAACAAAACUUAACAGAGAUUAUGACUUAGAGAUAGUAUUUAAUUUCAAGUGAUUAAAAAGCAUUUACCCUUAAAAUUCACAGGAACUGUAAAGAUCAUCAAUUCUAAUCCCAAACAAAUUAGGUCCACAAAUCAACCUCACUGAAAAUACAUGAAAGUAUUUAAAAAUUGAUGAAAUUUUGGCCUUAUCUCUGAGAUAGGAAUCAGUAUGUAUUUUGUGAUUGCCUAGAAGGUAACCCACAGUUUUGUGUCUUAACCAGAAUUUAGAACAACUAUGUAUAGUUCAACCUAUAUUUUAAUUCUUUAAUUAUGACUCAUGAUCUUACAUUACUAAGCUUUAAUGAUGUAAGUUAGUUAUAUUUUGGUACAAAUAACAUUGAAAGUUAGGAAAAAAAAAAAAAUACCGAACAUUUCUGUCUUCUCACUAUACAGUUCGGUGAGCUAAUUUGCAAGAUCACCAUCUAGUGGCAAAUUUGUCUCAUUGCAAGCACACAGUCCCUAGAGCCCAAGAAGGAUUUCUAAAGAUAUGUAGCCUGGCAAAUCCAUCUGAGAUACAAGAUGGGCAGUGUAAUUUUAACCAUAUCAGGCAGCAUUGCACAAGUGGAAAUAUUCCUCCUAGAAUUAUAAAUCAUGAGCUAAUAGCUGGGAAAUGAGUAGAAGACACAUGCUACAUGAUUAAGUAGUUAAAUGACAGGAAACUGAACAGAUUGUGUGUUUCAUUUUUGUUUAAUUCCACCCCAUUGAUGUUGACAAAGCAUCACAGUCCUACUUUUAUGAAGAUAAAUUUCAGGAAACAACCAUAAUGAAACAGGAAUGAAUGCUAGGAAUAAAGGUGUUUAUUUUUUUCCCCCUUUUAGUAGGCUUUAGAAAUUCUGCUUACCUCCUAUAGAACAGAGGUGGAAGCAGACCCCCCAUAGUAUACUCUAUACCUACUCUUUCUCUUAUAUUCCUUAAAACCAUCUUGGCACCUUCAUGAGUAUCAUAAACUUAUUCUAUGAAAGUUUGCACUCCCAUCCCUGCAAAGCCAGCUGCUUCCUUUAGCUAAAUUUGGGGAUGCUCCUUUUGGACUUGGAGCCAAUUGUUUUAUAGCUGGAACCAGCAGUCACCUAUGUGACAGGCUGAGUUUAGAGAAAGUAAGGAUAUUACUCCUUGGCCAAAAUGGAUUCUUGCAUUAAGAUUCUAUUGCACUUAAAGUUCAGACAAAUUAAUGCUUCUUGCUUUCUAGGAGUUCCAUAUUUCUGACUUAAUCUAAGAGGUCAUCAGUUAUAAGUUAUAGCAUUAUUUUGUACAACGAAGGAAGAAAAAUAUUGCCAAUUUAAUUACAACAGGUCAUAGAUUGUAAGAUGUAUCUUAAUUUCAAAUGUAGCUAAAUUAUGUUUAAAAAUAUGUUUGUAGCCUUGAAAUAUGGUAAAUACAAAUUCUACUAAUGAGAGAGAGAACUGGGAAUAAAGGCUAUAAUAAUAUUAAUUCAACAUUUUAAGUAUUGAUGUCAUCCAGUUUAAGCAGCACCCUAAGGAAAUGGAACACAGGAUAGUCAUGUUUUGAUAGAAGAAGAGGAAGAGAAAGAUAAACUACAACUGCUUCACAAGGUUGACUAAGUCCAGCUUUAUUUAGUCCAUACAACAUCCUUUGAACAACUCCUUUUAGCAAUGUUUAUUUAAAGAGGUCACUAUUUGAAGUUAGCAUGCUGAAUUCCAUAGCUGCUGACCCUCUGGAAAAAUAGCUGACUCUGAGAAAGGUUAGGAAAGGUGGGAAUAGUCUAUGAAUAAAACCUUUUCAAGCUAGAAAGAGGUCAAAGUACAGCAUGAUCAAAGACAUAGAUGAAAUGCAGAAGAAUGCAGAUAAAGGUAAAAUAAAGAGUACCCGGAGACACCAAUAAAAAGAGAAAUGCUUUCUUAAGUGGCUAGGUGUGGCUGCAAGACCAGGAAAGAGCUCUCAGACACACUGUGGAAGGACUUUACUCAUUCCAGCCUGUACACAGCAGCAGUAAAGAAAACAAAUAGAAUAAAGCAGUUGCUGAGUUUCAAUUCUAAAACAGUCCGACCUACACUGGAUGUCAGAUCUUAUAGUUAUGGGGACAGACUCCUUUUUCUCCUUGAGCUGCAUAUUAGGUUUUACAGUAAUAUAACUUUCUUUUUAACUCAGAGAGUAAAACAAAAGUAACCUAGAAAUUCUCCCCUCCCUCAAAAGCAAAGAAAUAUCUGAUGUUGGGAACAAAAUAGGAUGUUACUGAGGAUGUGUUUCAAGAAAAUAGCCAUGCCAAAUUCUGGGAGAAUAACACAGUAUCUACAUGAGAUCCUUUGAAAGAUUAGGAUUUUUUUUUUUCUUCAGGGGUAUGAAAUUUAUCAUCAAAGAAUAUUUUCUUUGAGUUUGUGUGUGUGUGUGUGUGCAUGUGUGUGUAAUUUCAAAAUUCCAACAAGGUUUAAAUAUCCUGGACACAUAGUGUUACCAUAUUAUGCCAUAUUCUUUAGUAGUUUUGUUUCAUUUUUUAGGUGACUUGAAAAUCAUGUAGCAUAACCACAAGUUAUAUGGCUGACCCUGGUUGGUAAGAGCUGUGGAGAGAGAGAGGGAGACCUUGGUGAAAUGAAAUUUUAGAACUUAAAAUAUGUUAGAUGUUCU
rnacentral:lncRNA from 1 species